AUUGAACGCUGGCGGCAGGCCUAACACAUGCAAGUCGAACGAGUGGCGGACGGGUGAGUAAUGUCUGGGAAUCUGCCUGAUGGGGGGGGAUAACUACUGGAAAGUGUCGCUAAUCCCGUAUACCAUCGGAUGUGCCCAGAUGGGAUUAGCUAGUAGGUGGGGUAAAGGCUCACCUAGGCGACGAUCCCUAGCUGGUCUGAGAGGAUGACCAGCCACACUGGGACUGAGAAACGGUCCAGACUCCUACGGGAGGCAGCAGUGGGGAAUAUUGCACAAUGGGCGCAAGCCUGAUGCAGCCAUGCCGCGUGUAUGAAGAAGGCCUUAGGGUUGUAAAGUACUUUCAGCGGGGAGGCGUUACCCGCAGAAGAAGCACCGGCUAACUCCGUGCCAGCCGCCGCGGUAAUUC
rnacentral:rRNA from 1 species